AUCGUUUAUCCGUGAUUNAUAAUUAGAGUGUUUCAAAUGCAGUCAGAUCCAAUUUUCUGGCCACCGAAUACAUUAGUCAUGGGAUAAUGGAAUAGGAUCCCUGUCCUCCUAGUUUUCAGUUGGUUUUGGCAUGUCGUCGAUGGAUCUAGGGUAAUGAUUAAUAGGGAUAGUUGGGGGCAUUAAUAUUNUAAUUGCUCAAGAGGGUGAAAUUCUUGGAUUUAUGAAAGACUUUAACUUCUGCGAAAGCAUUCUUGNCCCAAGGAUGUUUUCAUUAACUCAAGAACCGAAAUGCUUAUGGGGAUCGAAUGACGAUCAGAUACCGUCGUANUCUUAACCAUAUAAUCGAUGUCCGACCAGCGAUUAGGAGACGUUUGUAUACAAUAUACAUCCACCAUCAACGCGGUCGNCCUUGGCGUCGUCUUUCGGGGUCNAGCCGGGCCGCUUAGCCUGUGNCCUUCUCUUGUAGUGUUU
rnacentral:rRNA from 1 species